AGUGAACGCUGGCGGUAGGCCUAACACAUGCAAGUCGAACGGCAGCACAGGAGAGCUUGCUCUCUGGGUGGCGAGUGGCGGACGGGUGAGGAAUACAUCGGAAUCUACUCUGUCGUGGGGGAUAACGUAGGGAAACUUACGCUAAUACCGCAUACGACCUACGGGUGAAAGCAGGGGACCUUCGGGCCUUGCGCGAUUGAAUGAGCCGAUGUCGGGUUAGCUAGUUGGCGGGGUAAAGGCCCACCAAGGCGACGAUCCGUAGCUGGUCUGAGGGGAUGAUCAGCCACACUGGAACUGAGACACGGUCCAGACUCCUACGGGAGGCAGCAGUGGGGAAUAUUGGACAAUGGGCGCAAGCCUGAUCCAGCCAUACCGCGUGGGUGAAGAAGGCCUUCGGGUUGUAAAGCCCUUUUGUUGGGAAAGAAAUCCAGCUGGCUAAUACCCGGUUGGGAUGACGGUACCCAAAGAAUAAGCACCGGCUAACUUCGUGCCAGCCGCCGCAGUAA
rnacentral:rRNA from 1 species